rnacentral:rRNA from 1 species
UACGAGGGGGGCAACUGUUGUUCGGAAUCACUGGGCGUAAAGGGAGCGUAGGCGGGUUUUUAAGUCAGGUGUUUAAUCCCGGGGCCCAACCCCGGACAGGCACUUGAAACUGGGAAUCUUGAAUAGUGGAGAGGUCAGUGGAAUUGGGGGUGUAGCGGUGGAAUGCGUAGAGAUCCCCAAGAACACCCGUUGCGAAGGCGGCUGACUGGACACAUAUUGACGCUGAGGCUCGAAAGCAUGGGGAGCAAACAGG